UACGUAGGGUGCGAGCGUUAAUCGGAAUUACUGGGCGUAAAGCGUGCGCAGGCGGUUGUGUAAGACAGGUGUGAAAUCCCCGGGCUUAACCUGGGAACUGCGCUUGUGACUGCACAGCUAGAGUAUGGCAGAGGGGGGUGGAAGUUCCACGUGUAGCAGUGAAAUGCGUAGAGAUGUGGAGGAACACCGAUGGCGAAGGCAGCCCCCUGGGCCAAUACUGGACGCUCAUGCACGAAAGCGUGGGGAG
rnacentral:rRNA from 1 species